GCAGACCGUUUCGAUCAUCCGGAUGUUGAGUUCCCGGCUGACGAUAGCGGCCGGAACAAGGCCGCCGCGCGUGAUGCAGACCAUCGCGCGCCAUUCCUGCCCGUUGU
rnacentral:sRNA from 1 species